AUGGACAUGAGGGCCCCUGCUCAGCUCCUUGGGCUCCUGCUGCUCUGGUUAUCAGGUGCCAGAUGUGACAUCCGGAUGACCCAGUCUCCAUCCUCCCUGUCUGCAUCUCUGGGAGACAGGGUCACUAUCACUUGCAGGGCCAGUCAGGGUAUUAACUGGAAUUUACGCUGGUAUCAGCAGAAACCAGGGAAAGCUCCCAAGCUCCUGAUCUAUGGUGCAUCCAACUUGGCAGAUGGGGUCCCAUUGAGGUUCAGUGGCAGUGGGUCUGAUACAGACUAUUCUCUCACUAUCAGCAACCUGGAGUCUGAAGAUAUUGCAACUUAUUACUGUCUACAGACUGAUCAGUAUCCUCCCACAGUGAUACAAGUCAUAACAUAA